rnacentral:lncRNA from 1 species
AAAUCUUCAGCAAGAAUGUAGGAAAUUUAGUUGCUGUUGGCACUCAGUCAGCUUUAGAUUUAUUUACAUUGGAAAACACAUGCCAUUUUCUUAGGUCCUUUUCGUGUUUUCGGUGCGUGUGAUGAAACAACACGAAAAUUAUUCAAAAAAGGUGAUGGUCAACAGAUGCAAAUAUUUUGUCCCAUGCAACUGAAGAACCAAUGCCUGGUUAAAUAAUAAAUGCUGGGAAAGCGACUGAAACAUUCAGGCCACACAUUAUCAGAAGCCAACAGGUUAUCGGAGUAAAGUAGUAUCAGAUAACAGUGCUUUAGUACUCUUCAGAGCAAAUUACAAAGUACGAAAAUUGGAUGAUUCAAGGAAAAACGUGGACAGAAUACUGACCUCCGGGUUUAAUUUGAAAAUUGGCUUGCAGACUCCUGGAAACAACUGCAUCGAGCCUCCGGGACAGUUUUGUUUAGCCUUCAAAAUAUUGGCUGGUCACAAAAUCUGCACGCGAUGUUACAACCAAUAACAACACUGACACUAUCCACCAAAUGCUCCUGCCAACCAUGGCAAAGAGAUUUUAGAAAAUCUAGCGAAAUAUUAUCAUCGAUUCAACAGGAAUUCAAGAGCAAUAAUUGGAAACGAUUUUAUGGUUCUAAACUUAGGUAGGCAUUUGAUUAAAUGAUUGCUUAUCAGCUCAGUC